CCUCGAGUUAGUACACUUUGCUAGACUAGAUCCUGGCUUCUUUGCUAGACAUCUUCAUCACCAACCUGCAUCUCCUUUGGGCUGCUAGGCUUCUCUCUUCAAAACUUUACUGUACCUCUCUAUAACUGAUGUGUUUGUAUUUUUCUUCUCUUAGAUGUCAAUGUGACACUGUUCUCGACAUCUCCAUAACCAUCAUGCCUUCCUUCAUACACAUUUUUGUUAGUCACUCCUUGGUUUAGGUAGAGGUGCAGAAAACUAAUGAAG